GCUAAGAAUAUUCCGCAAUGGACGAAAGUCUGACGGAGCGACGCCGCGUGGAUGACGAAGGCCGAAAGGUUGUAAAGUCCUUUUGUCGAUGAAGAAUAAGCGGUGGAGGGAAUGCCAUCGUGAUGACGUUAGUCGGCGAAUAAGCCCCGGCUAAUUACGUGCCAGCAGCCGCGGUAACACGUAAGGGGCGAGCGUUGUUCGGAAUUAUUGGGCGUAAAGGGUACGUAGGCGGUUGUGCAAGCCCGGCGUGAAAUCCUGCAGCUUAACUGUAGAGCUGCGCUGGGAACUGCGGAACUUGAGUCAUGGAAGGGAAGUUAGAAUUCCAGGUGUAGGGGUGAAAUCUGUAGAUAUCUGGAAGAAUACCGGUGGCGAAGGCGAACUUCUGGCCAAUGACUGACGCUGAGGUACGAAAGUGCGGGGAGCAAACAGGAUUAGAAACCCGAGUAGUCC
rnacentral:rRNA from 1 species